CCUCGGAGGAAGGGGUCCAGGGAGAAGGCGGGGAGGGGGGUCAGAUAAGAGCCAUCACUCACAUCGGCCGCGCUGAUAAGACGCAGACGCACUCCGUCACCCCCGCGUGACAUUUGUUUUUCAUUCCACUCCGACGAGGGAGAAGUCAACCUGUUUCAUCUCAUCGAUGGCCGCCGUACUUCCACUCUGGAUGUCCCGCCUGCUCAGUGCGUGCCAGCUUGUGACAGCGUUGGCGGCCGAGUGAUUGAGUAGUGCGCAGGAUACUCUCCAGCUCACGGCUCCAGGAGAGGGAACCCGAAGCAAACGCCGGCCAAUCAGAGGACAUGAAAAGUGGAAGUAAAUCAAGUCGCCCUUGGCUUGCCUCCGCCGAGGUCACCAACAAGUCACAGAUUGAGAAGGUGUGCCCCCCACUCCAUGGCAGACGUUUGUCCCCACCGUGUGCCACGCACAAAAGCCAGCGCCCUGUCAGCACUGAUUGAUCAGAGGGGUGCCGCGGCUAUAAAGGAGGAGCCUAUCAAUGAUGCUCUACAUCUGCACCUGAAAGGAGCCCCUCGUUUCCUUCGGCGACACAGAUAAUGAGAGCCGCGCUGUUAACAGCUCCUGGAGCUCUGCUUUUUUGUCAUGUGUAUAUAAGGCAAAGUGCUUAGCUUUGAGAUGUGAGGUGGGAGAAGGAAAAAAAGAACAGAGCGGCCUAUGCUAGGAAGAUUAGCAUAAUGUCUACAAACGCUGACAGGGUUGAAUUCCACUCACUCGUUUUGAGAUUAGCGAGGCUUUUUUUUUCAGAGGGGAAAUAAAGUGUAUUUGCAGAACAAUGCGAUUUACGUGUUUGAUUUUUAAUUUUCCGACAAUUUUUCGCAGCAUGUACAGGAUGUUUUUGCAGACGUGUGCAUUGUUGGGAUUCGAAGUCUGCUGAGCUCAUUUUCACGAUGUGUCGCUGUGCCU